CCUACGGGAGGCAGCAGUGAGGAAUAUUGGUCAAUGGACGAGAGUCUGAACCAGCCAAGUAGCGUGAAGGAUGACUGCCCUAUGGGUUGUAAACUUCUUUUAUAUGGGAAUAAAAUGUUCCACGUGUGGGAUUUUGUAUGUACCAUAUGAAUAAGGAUCGGCUAACUCCGUGCCAGCAGCCGCGGUAAUACGGAGGAUCCGAGCGUUAUCCGGAUUUAUUGGGGUUAAAGGGAGCGUAGGUGGAUUGUUAAGUCAGUUGUGAAAGUUUGCGGCUCAACCGUAAAAUUGCAGUUGAAACUGGCAGUCUUGAGUACAGUAGAGGUGGGCGGAAUUCGUGGUGUAGCGGUGAAAUGCUUAGAGAUCACGAAGAACUCUGAUUGCGAAGGCAGUUCACUGGACUGCAACUGACACUGAGGCUCGAAAGUGUGGGUAUCAAACAGGAUUAGAUACCCGAGUAGUC
rnacentral:rRNA from 1 species